AACCUGCAAGCCGAGCGAGCUGGCUCCGGCCUUAGCCAGCCUAGAAAGGGGCUCCCACAGUGCAGCGGCGGGCUGAAGGGCUCCUCAAGUGCCGCCAAAGUGGGAGCCCAGACAGAGGAGGCACUGAGAACGCCGAGAGCGAGCAACGGCUGCGACUGCGAGGGCUGCCGCCAGCAGCUGUCACCUCUCAUUACCAUCACUCCUAGUGACCAUUUUGGAUAAUCCACAGUGCCUCAUCAAACCAGAAAACAAUUCAAACCUGGCCUGCUUCUAACUGGAAGCCACAUUUUAAGAACUUAUUGUGAAGAACUGGAAAGCCUCCAAUAGGGCCCAUUAUACAGGCUGCCUUUCCAGCUCUCCAAUCAUGCUUCCAAGAAAACUGCUCACUCUCAGAACCAAGGUUCAAGUUGUACGUUGUGAUUUGGGUACAGGUACUGAAGUAUAUAUAAGUAAGUACUACAGACUGUUAAACCCCGUACAAUGUGACCGGAGAAAGAAUCACUACAUGUCAAGCGGUAUGCAUCACGGGACCUGGCAUGGAGCAGCAUUCAAAAUAUUGGGUAGAAGGAAAAAGGAAGAAAGAAGGGAAGGACAGGGAAGCAAGGAAAUAAAGGAAAUCAAGCUGUAUAUGUAGUGAUGCCCAUGCUACCUCUGAAAUCUAAAAAUCUAAGAUGAAAACGUGCACACAGUCUUGGCAGCACUGGGGUAAUAGACUAUGAAAGAAGAAAUCAGAUUGGAAAAGUCAGUAUAUCAGUGAAGAAAAUAAUCACUCAAGGAGAGGAAUAAACAGCAAAACUAUAUAAUUAUA